GAUGAACGCUGGCGGCGCGCCUAACACAUGCAAGUCGAACGGUUAAAGCCCCUUCGGGGGUGCAUAAAGUGGCGAACGGCUGAGUAACACGUGGGCAACCUGCCCCUCGCACCGGGACAGCCUCGGGAAACCGUGGUUAAUACCGGAUACUCCCGCGCCCCCGCAUGGGGGCGCGGGGAAAGCCAGACGGCGAGGGAUGGGCCCGCGGCCUGUUAGCUCGUUGGCGGGGUAACGGCCCACCAAGGCGAUGAUGGGUAGCCGGGUUGAGAGACCGACCGGCCAGAUUGGGACUGAGACACGGCCCAGACUCCUACGGGAGGCAGCAGUGGGGAAUCUUGCGCAAUGGGCGGAAGCCUGACGCAGCGACGCCGCGUGCGGGAAGGAGGCCUUCGGGUCGUAAACCGCUUUCAGCAGGGACGAGGCCGCGAGGGACUUU
rnacentral:rRNA from 1 species